rnacentral:lncRNA from 1 species
CUGGCUGUGGCAAAUGUGACUGCCAUGGAGUGAAGGGACAAAAGCUAAUAAAAGACAAAUAACAGGAUUCAGGCACUAACCAGAGUACGACUCAGUUUCUACUCCUUCAGAUAAGCAGACCCUAAUCUGAGGGAGUCGGGCCAGCUGAAGACACGGCUCAGAAUAUCCGAAGUCUUGAGCAAGUUCCUUUCCUCUUACUGACUCUGUGGCGGACCCACUGCGCCCCAGGCCACCUGCCAAGGACAGCAAGCCUUCUGAAGCCUUUCUCUAACGGGUCGGGACGGGGAGGACUGCUGGAGGACCACAAAGAAAUGAGCCUACUCCUCUGGGGCCCUGGGCAGACCUCCCAGUUCCUGUUCUACAGGAGUCAACGUGGGCCUCCAGCCCGGUUCAACAACUAACCCACAGCGAGCCCCUGUGUGUGACAAGGGGCAGGUCAGCCAGUCAGCAGCCACUCCUGCCCCAUUGUCCCCUCCUGAGACAGGUUAGGGGUGCCCAGCCCAUCAAAAUAUGCAUCCCACCCCAUUCUGGAUUGCUUUUCCCUGUGCAUUAGGAAUAAAACCUCUCUAAGGGGAAGGCAUUUUGAAGUAAGCCUGUUUCAGGCCUGUGAGAGGUCUGCAGAAACACCCCCAGCGUGAGCACUGGGUCACCCCACAGCCCCUGCCUUUCGGAAAUCCUGGUGUAGAGUCCGCUCCACAAGGAGCUCCUUCCUCUGUUUGAAGGCUGGUCGUCUUCACUGUGUCUCCGCGAUUACCCAGGACGUGGGCAUGGCCAUGCUUCUCACACGUCCUCUCUUUGACUCAGGAUCAUCGACUUGUGCCUCUGCCUCCUCCACAUCUGGAAGAGGCAUCUUCUUUUCCCUUUUCACAGGCUACUUAGAGCUGGAGAGGGAUUGUGUCUGUCAAUCCUUAGAUACAUGAUUAAUUAAUCAACGCAUGUUUUUCAGUUGUUACUUUGCUGGGCACUUUGAGAGAUGCAAAAUGAGCACUCUUAGUAUAUUUCUCUCAAGGACAUACAAAAUAAGAAGAAAAAUAUUAUCUGUAAGGAAUACCAUAAAUCUAAUACCUAAAUACAAGAAGAGAAGAGGACAGAUUUUCCAGUCUGUUGAAUUAGAUGUGCCAUUUUACAUUGAUUGUUUUUUAUUAGCUCCCAUUGCCAGAGACAUUGCAAUGUCUACGUGAUAAGGAGUUUAGGCUUGAGCUUGCAUGCUGGUUUUAAACACAUCAUCUACAACAUUCUAGUCGUUUUUGUGCUAUAUUGUAACAAUUGUCAAAGUGCCUUAGAAUCUAACAUUACCUUUAAGGUAUGGGACUCACUUUUUCCUAAGAUCAUAAAUUUAGGGUAUUUUCAUAGUUGUAAUUAAAUCUUAGAUGAAAUUCCUUUUUGAGACAGGGACUGUACUUUAUUUGUAUUUUUGGAGAAUUCAAUAAUCUUCAAUUUAUAAAUAUAUUUAUUUCCAUGAUCUUUCCUCUAAUUUACACAUGGGUAACAAUAGACAUAGUUUUAGCCAUGUUUUCAUUAUGAAAUUAAAAUAUACAAGGACAGAGUGCUUUAAAUAUUCCACCAUAUAGAUAGAUGGACUGGCUCUUCUCCUGUUAUUCCUUGUUAUUCCUAGUAUCUGUGUAGAAUAUAUUUGCAUCUCCAGUAAUUAUUAAAGAAUAAUAAUU